rnacentral:rRNA from 1 species
AGGAAAGGAAACCAACCGGGAUUGCCUCAGUAACGGCGAGUGAAGCGGCAAGAGCUCAGAUUUGAAAUCUGCUACCUUCGGUAGCCGAGUUGUAGCGUGUAGAGUGUUGUCCCGGAUGCACGGCGUGGUCUAGGUUCCCUGGAAAGGGACGCCGUAGAGGGUGAGAGCCCCGUGCGGCCUUGUCUGUGGCAUCCGCUGUGGGACGUGCUCGAGGAGUCGAGUUGUUUGGGAAUGCAGCUCAAAGUGGGUGGUAAACUCCAUCUAAAGCUAAAUACAGGCGAGAGACCGAUAGCGAACAAGUACAGUGAUGGAAAGAUGAAAAGCACUUUGAAAAGAGAGUGAAACAGCACGUGAAAUUGUUGAAAGGGAAGGGCAGCUGCUCAGACAUGGCAGGUUGCGUCCUCUGCUCCUCGUGGGCGGGGGUUCAACGCGGCUUGCUGGGCCAGCAUCAGUUUUGGCGGCAGGAGAAAA